rnacentral:lncRNA from 1 species
UCUGUGUAUAUUUUGUUACCCUUCAUCUGAUCAAUGUAUAUUUUGUUACCCUUCACAUAAUGCCUAUAGUUUGGGACAGCUCCUUAAAAACAAAUGCAUAUUCAGAUCUAACAUAAAUAAAAGCAAUGUCAAAGAAAUUAUUGAUUCACAUAUUUUUUUCUAGGAUCACAUAUGUUACAACAGUCAACUACUUCUAUCUCUUAUGAAUGAUAUGGUAAAUACAUAUCAAAAACAUUGAGGGAGAGAGAGAUUAAACAAAUAUAUUAAUCUUCUUAGUAAUUGUUACAAGUGAAGAAUAUAUUUUCCCAAGUUCUUAUAAAGUUAAACCUGUUAAAAAGUUUCAGCAUAACUAUAAAUCGAUUUAUUUCUCUUUGAGGUCCUUAAUCUAUUCAAAAUCACAAACAAUAAAAAAACAGUUAUAAUUUUAAACUGCUAUACUCCGAAAUAUUUACUGUCUAAUAACUCACAAUAUUAGAAUGAUAAUAUAAUUAAUAUUUUUUUAAAUUAACAGUUAUUUAACUAAAUGCACUAAUCUGGAUUUUAAAAUAACUGCUAUUUGGUCAACUGCAUUUAUCAUGGUAAUUCACCAUAAUAUUAGAUUUCAAGUUCAAUAACUCAUAACAAAGUCAUGACAGAUCAGAAGAAAUUAGCAAGAAAACAAAGAUUUAGCUUACGACAGAAUUAAAAACGUGGAAAAUACUCAUCAGAUGUCAAUAAUUUGAUCUCCUCUAUUUUUAUUGCUCAAUAUAGUACAUGUCUUCUACUAUACAACAGUGAAAUAUAUUACACUACCUAUAUAUUCUUCAUUUUUAAAACUUUUAUCUUCUUCAAAUUUCAUAAAACUUAUUUCAUCUAUUAAAUACCUUUUUGUGCAUUUUAUCUAAAAUUUCUUCUUUUUAAUUUGUUUAAUUAACUUUAUUUUAUUAUAUUUUUGGUAGAUUUGCAAAGCACUUCAUCUACAGCUUUUCCUGUGUCAAAGGGGAAAGAAAUUUUAGUGGAUGAACAUAUUUAUUCGUAUCCCAUCAGUAUGCCACAAAGUUUUUCUAGAGGUUUGUAUUACAGGAAAAAUAUAUUAUUUCAUGAAUUUAUACAUAUUAAAUAUUACUAUUCUUAUACAUAAAACAAGAUAAUGUCAAAUUUUUAUUGUUAAUUUGCAAAUUAGUUCAUCUACAUUCAAGAAAGUCUAAGGGUAAGUAUAUAUUUAUGGAUUAUAAUGUAUACUCACCUAUGUUAACAACGGAAAAUGGCAUUUUUCAAAGGUAUAUCACUAAAAGAACAUAACAAUAUUCAAUAAGCAUCUGCAAUAUAUUCAAAUUCUAUAUUAUUUGUAACAGAUAACAGAAUAUCAAAUCAUCUAACUCAUGAUGAAAAUGAAGAUGUAGAUAUGUUGACAGCAGAUGAGUUUGGUAGUAGAAAACUAUACAAUGAAGGUAAUUUUUAUAUAUUACUAUCCCUAACCUUUGCUUUGUUUAAACAAAUUACUUUGUUUCUAACGUAUUAUUUUUUUUUAAAAAUAAAAUUAUUAGACUAUUGGGAUAUAGGAGAUCCAAUUUAUGAAUGUCAAUAUUGCGGCACUUACUUUUGGUAUGCGGAAAGAAUUGAUAAGAAGUGUAAAAAAAAAGACAUGUUUUCACUUUGUGUUGUGGUCAUGAAAAGCUUCCCAAUCCUAAGGAUCCUCCUACUAUGUUGAAGGAAUUAUUAUUUGGAUCAGGUAAAUUAAUUUAUUUAAUACAAAUAUAAAUACACGUCAAUAAUUUUGUUUAUCAACUUUACAUUUCUAUAAUUUAUUGUAGGUGAAAAAAGUAACCAUUUCAGAGAGAAUAUCCGAACUUAUAAUUCCAUGUUUUCUUUUACAUCAAUGGGAGGAAAAAUUGAUGCAUCUGUCAAUCAAACAAAAGGGCCAAGAACUUUCAGAUUAUCUGGACAGAAUUAUCAUAAAAUUGGAAGCUUAUUGCCUAAUGAGGGAUCUACUCCAAAAUUUUGCACAAUUAUAUAUUUAUGAUACAGAAAAUGAGGUAACAAAUAGAAUGAAUGUUAUCAGGUGUGUACUUAUUUUAUUUAUGCUUUAUGUAAGAUUAAUUAUAACUGUAGUAAUUAAACACUAUUAUCAACAUAUUACUAUUCACUUUGUAGUAGCGGUGAAAGCAACAAUCAAAUCCAUGCUCAAAUUGUCACCGAACUGAAGGAAAUGCUUGAUAAACAUAAUGUUCUUGCAAAGAGUUUUCGUAUGGUUAGAGAUAGAUUUCAAGCUGAACAAAGUACAAAUGUUAAACUAAGACUUAUCGGAAGAAGAGGAUCAGAUGGAAGAGGAUAUAACUUGCCAUCAGUUUCAGAGGUAGCAGCUUUGGUUGUUGGCGAUUUUGAACCAACAAAUACUGACAGAGAUAUAAUAAUCGAAAGUCAAAAUGGACAACUUCAGAGAAUAAAUGAGCUUAAUGCAGCAUAUUUAGGUUUGCAAUAUCCAUUACUACUACCUUAUGGGGAAGAUGGUUAUAGAGAAGAUAUUCCUUUAAAUAGAAUUGAUGAAUCAAGUAAGGGAAGAAAACGUGUUAGUUCUUGCGAAUAUUUUGCAUAUAAAAUUCAAGAAAGGAAGAAUGAAGUACCUACAAUUGUUUCAGCUAAAAGAUUAUUUCAACAAUUCUUGGUUGAUGGAUAUACAAUGAUUGAAUCUUCUCGCUUAUUGUUUUAUAGACUAAAUCAAAGAAAUUUGAGAACACAUUUAUAUAAAGGAUUACAAGAAGCAGUUUUGCAUGGAGACACAGAACCAUCUUCUCAAGGACAAAGAAUUAUAUUGUCUUCUACUUUCACUGGUGGAACACGUUAAAUGUUGCAAAAUUAUCAAGAUGCAAUGGCAAUAUGUAAAUGGGCUGGAUAUCCUGAUUUAUUCAUUACAUUUACAUGCAAUCCCAAAUGGCCUGAAAUUAAGAGAUUUGUGCAUAGUAGGGGAUUGCAUCCAGAAGAUCGCCCAGACAUUAUAACAAGAGUCUUUAAAAUCAAAUUGGAUCAUUUGAUAAAAGAUUUAAGAGACAAUAAAGUUUUUGGAGAAGUAAAAGCGGGUAUGAACUUUAUUUUGCUUUAUUUUAUUAUAUUACAUUUUCAAGUUAAUAUAAUUUGUUUUAUUUAAAUAAAAUCAUAAAUUACAAAUAAUAUUUUGUUUUCUCUUCAUAUAGUGAUUUACACUAUUGAAUUUCAAAAGCGUGGAUUGCCUCAUGCACAUAUCUUACUUUUUCUCCAUGAUAAAUUUCCAAAUGUUGGAGACAUUGAUGCGAUUAUUUCAGCUGAAUUGCCUGAUAAAUUACUUGAUCCGGAUUAUUAUGUGGUUGUUACAAACUUCAUGAUGCAUGGGCCAUGUGGUUCAAUAAGGAAAUCAUCCCCUUGCAUGCAAAAAGGCAAAUGUACAAAGCACUUUCCAAAAAGAUUUUUACCAUCUACCUCACUUGAUGAAGAAGGAUAUCCUUUAUAUCGAAGAAGAGAUGAUGGUAGAUCUACACAGAGAUCAGGUAUUGAUUUAGAUAAUCGAUAUGUUGUACCACAUAAUAAUUUUUUGCUAAUGAAAUAUGGGGCACAUAUUAAUGUUGAAUGGUGCAAUCAAUCAAGAUCGAUUAAAUACUUAUUUAAGUAUGUUAAUAAAGGUCAUGAUCGAGUCACAGUAGCUUUUUGCGAUAGUGUUAAUUCUUCAGAUUCAAAGGUUGUUGAUGAAAUAAAAAUGUAUUGUGAUUGUCGCUAUAUAUCAUCCUGUGAAGCAGCUUGGAGAAUUUUCAAAUUCCCAAUCAACCAUAGAGAACCUUUUGUAGAAAGGUUAUCUUUUCAUCUACCAGACAAUCAAAAUGUCAUAUUUUCAGAUGAUGAUCCAAUUGAUGUUGUUAUCAAUAAACCAACAGUGAAGGAAUCAAUGUUUUUAAGAUGGUUGGAAGCUAAUAAGGAAUUUCCUGAAGCAAGACAUCUAACGUAUGCAGAAUUUCCUUUAAAGUUUGUUUGGAAGCAACAAUCUAAGAGAUGGGAAAAAAGGAAAACUUCAGCAUUUUCUAUUGGAAGAAUUUUCUUUGUUCCACCAGGAUCAGGUGAGCAAUAUUACCUUAGAUUGCUAUUGAAUGUUGUUAAAGGUCCAACUUCUUAUGAGGAAAUCAGAAGAAUAAAUGAUAUUUAUCAUGAGACCUUUAGAGAUGCAUGUUAUGCUCUAGGAUUAUUAGAUGAUGACAAAGAAUAUGUUGAUGCUAUAGUAGAAGCAAGUCAAUGGGGAAUGCCAUCAUAUCUACGACAAUUAUUUGCUAUGCUACUUAUAUCUAAUUCAAUGUCACGUCCGGAGAUAGUGUGGCAAUCAACUUGGCACUUACUAUCAGAAGAUAUCGUUUUUGAAGAAAGAAGAAUAUUAGAUAACCCAGGUAUUUAAUAAUGUUUACACUUGACACUAAUCAUAUAUAAUCUUUUUUUUUUCUUUUUCUUAUUAUUUAUUAUUAUUUUACUUUUAAAAUUUUUUAAUAAUUAGUAAAUUAGAAUUAGAUUAUUUUAUUAAAUUAGUAUAUGUUUAUAUGUUUUUUCAGAAGUUUAUCUAUCUGAAGCAGAUUUGAAGAAUCGUUGCUUGCAAAAGAUUGAAACCUUUUUAAAAGGUUGUGGAAGGAGUUUUCAAGAUUUUUCAACAAUGCCAUUACCUGUCUAUAAUGAGGAUGAGGUCGAUUAUAGCAACAGAUUAAUUCGAGAUGAAAUGCGUUACAAUAAAGGUGCUUUAACUGAUGAACAUCAAGAAUUGCUACAAAAUUUAACUGAUGAACAUAAAGCAGUUUACAAAAAGAUUAUGUCAGCAGUUAUUACAAAUAGUGGUGGAUUUUUCUUUUUAUACGGCUUUGGAGGUACAGGAAAAACUUUUAUUUGGAGGACAUUAUCAGCAGCUAUACGAUCUAAAGGAGAUAUUGUUUUGACAGUAGCUUCUAGCGGGAUUGCAUCUCUAUUGUUGCCUGGUGGUAGAACAUCACAUUCAAGAUUUGUUAUCCCUUUGAAUAUAAAUGAAGAUUCAACAUGUAAUAUAAAGCAAGGUACUCCUUUAGCAAAUUUGAUAGUCAAGGCAAAGUUGAUUAUUUGGGAUGAGGCUCCUAUGAUGCAUAAAUAUUGUUUUGAAGCUUUGGAUAAAACUUUAAGAGAUAUUAUUAGCUAUAAAGAUGCAUCUAAGGCAGAAUUACCAUUUGGAGGAAAAACAGUUGUUCUUGGAGGUGACUUUAGACAAAUUUUACCCGUUAUUCCAAAAGGUACUAGACAAGAUAUUGUUAAUGCAAUUGUAAAUUCAUCAUAUUUAUGGCCACAAUGUCAACUAUUGACUCUAACAAAGAAUGUGAGGUUACAAAGCAAUGCAAACGAUACACAUUUGGAAGAAUUGAGAGAUUUUUCUAAUUGGAUAUUGAAAGUUGGGGAUGGUAGCAUUGGAAGUUCAAUUGAUGGAAUAGACAAAGUUUUAAUACCUAAUGAUCUUCUAAUAAAUGAGUAUAUUGAUCCUAUAGCAUCUAUUGUUGAAAGUAUUUAUCCAGAUUUCAUCACUAAUUGCAAUGAUCCAGAGUACCUUCAACAAAGAGCCAUUCUUGCUCCAACUCUUGAUAUGGUUGAAUCGAUAAAUCAGUAUAUGAUUACUCUUAAUCAUAAUCCUGAGAAAUCAUAUUUAAGUUCUGAUAAAAUUUGCAGGUCUGAUCAUACUUAUUCAGCUUUGGAACAUGUACAUACCCCUGAAUUUUUGAACAAUAUUAAAUGUUCUGGCGUUCCAAAUCAUUCAAUCACUUUAAAGGUUGGGGUUCCAGUGAUGUUACUAAGAAAUAUCGAUCAGUCAGCGGGAUUAUGUAAUGGAACUAGAUUGAUUGUUACUAAACUUGGAAAUCAAGUAAUUGAAGCAAAGGUUUUAUCUGGACAGAUGGUUGGCCGGAAGGUAUUUAUUCCAAGAAUGACUUUAACACCUUCAGAUUAUAGAAUUCCUUUUAAGUUUCAAAGAAGACAGUUUCCUAUAACUGUAUCAUUUGCUAUGACAAUCAAUAAGAGUCAAGGACAGUCUUUAUCUCAUGUGGGCUUAUUUCUGAAGAAGCCAGUGUUUACGCAUGGACAUUUAUAUGUUGCUCUUUCCAAAGUGACAAAUAGAAAGGGAUUAAAAAUACUUACUUACGAUGAAGAUGGGCAAAUAAGUAAUGAAGCCACAAAUGUAGUAUAUAAAGAAGUACUCCAAGACUUAUUUGACAUACAUUGUAUUUUUUAACUUUUAUAUAUAUACUACAAUUUUUGUUGUGUAUGUUACAAUAACUUUUAUAUUAACUGUUAUAUAUGUUUUAGGUUUCAUUAAUAAUGUAAUUUAACUUAGUAAGUUAACAUUAAGUAGGUACACAUUAAUAAAAAAAGACAAAGAAAGUCCAAAUUACUUUGAAAUAUGCAAUAGUCGAUAUGUACUAACCUUAAUUAGCUAAUUAUAAUCACUGCUAUUUUCCAUCGAUACACUAGCAGAAAAAAAAUCUUCCCAUUAUCAACUUCUCCGCCAUCUACAAUACACUUAUUAAAAAGCAAAUAUGAAAAUAUAUUAGGCAAUUUUUUUCAGUUAGAAUGCAUUAAGACAGAAAUUGUAUUAUGAAACAUUGCUCAAAAUAGUUGUAUAUAUAUAAAUUAUCAUAAACUACACAAAUCUAUAUAUUAAUACUACUAUUAAACAUUAAUAAUAAAUACAACUUCAUAGUUAUCAGAUAGUUUUAAAUACGAGUACAGAUAGAUUAUAAGACUUCACACAUUUACAAUCUUUACUAUUUUUUUAACUUUACUCAUUUAUCUAAAAAGUAAAAGUCACAAGUUCCUAUAUUUUAAGGUCAUUUUAAACAAAUUAUGAUUUGGAAACCAAGAAAAUGAUAACUUUUUCUUAUAAUAUAUAAUAAACUGUGUCUUGAAAAUUCACAUUAAAAAUUUUCAAGUACAAUUUACUCCGGCUUGCUUGGAAAACUGUAACUCAGAUUAUAUAUACAAAAUCUCUGAAUCACCAAACAAGAUACCAAAAUCUUUAUCAACAUAAGCUUAUUAUAGCUUUGCAAUAACAUGCAUUUACUACUUUAUAAUUUAAAUUAAAGUUAAACUAUUAGCCGUAUCUGACCAUCCCAAAUAGAUAUGAAGGAGACAUAACCUGAUAAAUCUCAUUAAAAUUAAUCCAAAACAAGAACUACUUCAUGCUAAUAUAUUCUUCAAUUGAAGUUUUCAUUAUGAAGGAUCAAUAUAAAAAAAUGUCAAAAAUUUAACUCACCAUUUCACAGUACAUUGAAUUUUUGUCGGAACGAUACUAGAUCUGAAAACAACUCCUAUCAAAUGUUUUAUGCAAUAUAUAUUAAUCUUAACCUGCUUGAAGAAAGUCAUUUUUAUGCUAUGUUAUCAUUUGCAUGUUCAAAUGUUGAAAUUCUAAAAUUAACUUUACCAUAUAUUUGCAGAAGACAUUCAUAGUAGAAAAGACAAUAGAAGAUUUACUAAAGAGAUGAAAGAAAUAGCACUCACAACAUUGACAAAUCACUCAGAAACUUAGCGAAGAUCCACACUCGGAAGAGGUACCUCACCUUUCAAAUCUGGAAAAUUUUGUUCAUAUUUUGGUCUCUUUCCAGAGAGAUCCAUUUUGUUUGUUUUUUACGUUUUUCCCUUUUUACUUUCCAAUUACUUUUGGAUUUUGGUGGGUUGUCCAAAAGUCUAUUUGAUUUUACUUUUUUCCAAUUCACUUAGAUUGACCAUAUUUUAAUAAAACUAAUAAAUACAUAUACA